UGAGCAAUCUGCCCUUCUCAUCGGAAUAAGCGUUGGAAACGACGUCUAAUGCCGAAUACGACCUCCUUUCGCAUGAUCGGAGGUGGAGAGCUCCGGCGGAGAAGGAUGAGCUCGCGGCCUAUCAGCUAGUUGGUGUGGGUAAUGGCCCACCAAGGCGACGACGGGUAGCCGGCCUGAGAGGGUGACCGGCCACACUGGGACUGAGACACGGCCCAGACUCCUAGGAGG
rnacentral:rRNA from 1 species